rnacentral:rRNA from 1 species
GAUGAACGCUGGCGGCGUGCCUAAUACAUGCAAGUCGAGCGAACAGACGAGGAGCUUGCUCCUCUGACGUUAGCGGCGGACGGGUGAGUAACACGUGGAUAACCUACCUAUAAGACUGGGAUAACUUCGGGAAACCGGAGCUAAUACCGGAUAAUAUAUUGAACCGCAUGGUUCAAUAGUGAAAGACGGUUUUGCUGUCACUUAUAGAUGGAUCCGCGCCGCAUUAGCUAGUUGGUAAGGUAACGGCUUAUCAAGGCAACGAUGCGUAGCCGACCUGAGAGGGUGAUCGGCCACACUGGAACUGAGACACGGUCCAGACUCCUACGGGAGGCAGCAGUAGGGAAUCCUCCGCAAUGGGCGAAAGCCUGACGGAGCAACGCCGCGUGAGUGAUGAAGGUCUUCGGAUCGUAAAACUCUGUUAUUAGGGAAGAACAAAUGUGUAAGUAACUAUGCACGUCUUGACGGUACCUAAUCAGAAAGCCACGGCUAACUACGUG